GACGAACGCUGGCGGCGUGCUUAACACAUGCAAGUCGAACGGAAAGGCCCUGCUUGUGUGGGGUGCUCGAGGGGCGAACGGGGGAGUAACACGUGAGUAACCUGCCCUUGACUUUGGGAGAACUUCAGGAAACUGGGGCUAAUACCGGAUAGGAGCUCCUGCUGCAGGGUGGGGGGGGGAAAGUUGCGGCGGUUGGGGAUGGACUCGCGGCUUAUCAGCUUGUUGGUGGGGUAGUGGCUUACCAAGGCUUUGACGGGUAGGCGGCCGGAGAGGGUGACCGGCCACAUUGGGCCUGCGAUACGGCCCAGACUCCUACGGUAGGCAGCAGUGGGGAAUAUUGCCCAAUGGGCGGAAGCCUGCUGCAGCAACGCCGCGUGCGGGAUGACGGCCUUCGGGUUGUAAACCGCUUUCGCCUGUGACGAAGCGUGAGUGACGGUACUGGGUAAAGAAGCACCGGCUAACUACGUG
rnacentral:rRNA from 1 species